UCCAGAUGAAGGUUGGUGGAAGUCUCC
rnacentral:piRNA from 1 species